ACUCCUACGGGAGGCAGCAGUGGGGAAUAUUGGACAAUGGGGGCAACCCCGAUCCAGCCAUGCCGCGUGAGUGAUGAAGGCCUUAGGGUUGUAAAGCUCUUUUACCCGGGACGAUAAUGACUGUACCGGGAGAAUAAGCCCCGGCUAACUUCGUGCCAGCAGCCGCGGUAAUAC
rnacentral:rRNA from 1 species